GAAACAAACCACAGAAGGGAGUUUUUCUUUCCAGGAAAAGCAAAGAUGGGAGGAGCAGAAAGAGAGAGGAUCGGUGAUAUCAGUCUGUCCUGAUAAAAGAAGAAACACAAACACACCUGAAUCACAACAUCUACAGAAAUGGAGAGAAUCACAUUGAUGUCUGUUCUGCUCACAGUCGUGCUCAGUUCGUCUCCGCGUCAGUAUCACUUUGUGAAUCAGAACAUGAGCUGGACUGAAGCUCAGAGAUACUGCAGAGAGAAAUACACAGAUCUGGUCACUAUCAAUGACAUGAAUGAACAGAAUGACACAAAUCAGCUCCUACAGAGAGUGAACAGCAGUGCUGACCGUGUCUGGAUUGGGCUGCAGGACACAUGGAUUUGGUCUCUGAAUAACUCUGACUUCUACAGAGGAAAUGAGUCUCAGUUUAGGAAGUGGGGAAAAAAUCAACCAGAUGGAGAUGGAGACUGUGUUUAUAUGAACAAUGAUGGACAAUGGCAU